rnacentral:rRNA from 1 species
AGAGUUUGAUCCUGGCUCAGAUUGAACGCUGGCGGCAUGCCUUACACAUGCAAGUCGAACGGUAACAGGGAGCUUGCUCCGCUGACGAGUGGCGAACGGGUGAGUAAUAUAUCGGAACGUGCCCUAGAGUGGGGGAUAACUAGUCGAAAGAUUAGCUAAUACCGCAUACGAUCUAAGGAUGAAAGUGGGGGCUCGCAAGACCUCAUGCUCGUGGAGCGGCCGAUAUCUGAUUAGCUAGUUGGUAGGGUAAAAGCCUACCAAGGCAUCGAUCAGUAGCUGGUCUGAGAGGACGACAGCCACACUGGGACUGAGACACGGCCCAGACUCCUACGGGAGGCAGCAGUGGGGAAUUUUGGACAAUGGGCGCAAGCCUGAUCCAGCAAUGCCGCGUGAGUGAAGAAGGCCUUCGGGUUGUAAAGCUCUUUUGUCAGGGAAGAAACGAUCCGAUCUAAUACAUUGGGUUAAUGACGGUACCUGAAGAAUAAGCACCGGCUAACUACGUGCCAGCAGCCGCGGUAAUACGUAGGGUGCAAGCGUUAAUCGGAAUUACUGGGCGUAAAGCGUGCGCAGGCGGUUAUGUAAGACAGAUGUGAAAUGCCCGGGCUUAACCUGGGAACUGCAUUUGUGACUGCAUGGCUAGAGUGUGUCAGAGGGGGGUAGAAUUCCACGUGUAGCAGUGAAAUGCGUAGAUAUGUGGAGGAAUACCAAUGGCGAAGGCAGCCCCCUGGGAUAACACUGACGCUCAUGCACGAAAGCGUGGGGAGCAAACAGGAUUAGAUACCCUGGUAGUCCACGCCCUAAACGAUGUCUACUAGUUGUCGGGUCUUAAUUGACUUGGUAACGCAGCUAACGCGUGAAGUAGACCGCCUGGGGAGUACGGUCGCAAGAUUAAAACUCAAAGGAAUUGACGGGGACCCGCACAAGCGGUGGAUGAUGUGGAUUAAUUCGAUGCAACGCGAAAAACCUUACCUACCCUUGACAUGUCAGAGAGCUCGAAGAGAUUUGAGUGUGCUCGAAAGAGAAUCUGAACACAGGUGCUGCAUGGCUGACGUCAGCUCGUGUCGUGAGAUGUUGGGUUAAGUCCCGCAACGAGCGCAACCCUUGUCAUUAGUUGCUACGAAAGGGCACUCUAAUGAGACUGCCGGUGACAAACCGGAGGAAGGUGGGGAUGACGUCAAGUCCUCAUGGCCCUUAUGGGUAGGGCUUCACACGUCAUACAAUGGUACAUACAGAGGGCCGCCAACCCGCGAGGGGGAGCUAAUCCCAGAAAGUGUAUCGUAGUCCGGAUUGGAGUCUGCAACUCGACUCCAUGAAGUUGGAAUCGCUAGUAAUCGCGGAUCAGCAUGUCGCGGUGAAUACGUUCCCGGGUCUUGUACACACCGCCCGUCACACCAUGGGAGCGGGUUUUACCAGAAGUAGGUAGCCUAACCGUAAGGAGGGCGCUUACCACGGUAGGAUUCGUGACUGGGGUGAAGUCGUAACAAGGUA